rnacentral:rRNA from 1 species
GGUUAAGCGACUAAGCGUACACGGUGGAUGCCCUGGCAGUCAGAGGCGAUGAAGGACGUGCUAAUCUGCGAUAAGCGUCGGUAAGGUGAUAUGAACCGUUAUAACCGGCGAUGUCCGAAUGGGGAAACCCAGUGUGUUCCGACACACUAUCAUUAACUGAAUCCAUAGGUUAAUGAGGCGAACCGGGGGAACUGAAACAUCUAAGUACCCCGAGGAAAAGAAAUCAACCGAGAUUCCCCCAGUAGCGGCGAGCGAACGGGGAGGAGCCCAGAGCCUGAAUCAGUGUGUGUGUUAGUGGAAGCGUCUGGAAAGGCGCGCGAUACAGGGUGACAGCCCCGUACACAAAAAUGCACAUGCUGUGAGCUCGAUGAGUAGGGCGGGACACGUGGUAUCCUGUCUGAAUAUGGGGGGACCAUCCUCCAAGGCUAAAUACUCCUGACUGACCGAUAGUGAACCAGUACCGUGAGGGAAAGGCGAAAAGAACCCCGGCGAGGGGAGUGAAAAAGAACCUGAAACCGUGUACGUACAAGCAGUGGGAGCCCUGAUUUAUCAGGGUGACUGCGUACCUUUUGUAUAAUGGGUCAGCGACUUAUAUUCUGUAGCAAGGUUAACCGAAUAGGGGAGCCGGAGGGAAACCGAGUCUUAACUGGGCGUUAAGUUGCAGGGUAUAGACCCGAAACCCGGUGAUCUAGCCAUGGGCAGGUUGAAGGUUGGGUAACACUAACUGGAGGACCGAACCGACUAAUGUUGAAAAAUUAGCGGAUGACUUGUGGCUGGGGGUGAAAGGCCAAUCAAACCGGGAGAUAGCUGGUUCUCCCCGAAAGCUAUUUAGGUAGCGCCUCGUGAAUUCAUCUCCGGGGGUAGAGCACUGUUUCGGCAAGGGGGUCAUCCCGACUUACCAACCCGAUGCAAACUGCGAAUACCGGAGAAUGUUAUCACGGGAGACACACGGCGGGUGCUAACGUCCGUCGUGAAGAGGGAAACAACCCAGACCGCCAGCUAAGGUCCCAAAGUCAUGGUUAAGUGGGAAACGAUGUGGGAAGGCCCAGACAGCCAGGAUGUUGGCUUAGAAGCAGCCAUCAUUUAAAGAAAGCGUAAUAGCUCACUGGUCGAGUCGGCCUGCGCGGAAGAUGUAACGGGGCUAAACCAUGCACCGAAGCUGCGGCAGCGACACUGUGUGUUGUUGGGUAGGGGAGCGUUCUGUAAGCCUGCGAAGGUGUGCUGUGAGGUAUGCUGGAGGUAUCAGAAGUGCGAAUGCUGACAUAAGUAACGAUAAAGCGGGUGAAAAGCCCGCUCGCCGGAAGACCAAGGGUUCCUGUCCAACGUUAAUCGGGGCAGGGUGAGUCGACCCCUAAGGCGAGGCCGAAAGGCGUAGUCGAUGGGAAACAGGUUAAUAUUCCUGUACUUGGUGUUACUGCGAAGGGGGGACGGAGAAGGCUAUGUUGGCCGGGCGACGGUUGUCCCGGUUUAAGCGUGUAGGCUGGUUUUCCAGGCAAAUCCGGAGAAUCAAGGCUGAGGCGUGAUGACGAGGCACUACGGUGCUGAAGC